ensembl:lncRNA
GUUUUGUUUUUUUUUUUUUUUUUCUUUUUGGUAGCUGUCUUCAACGUGAAUUCUCUGGUCACUAAACCCGAGAUUGAGGUUUUUAGAAGUGGAGAUUUAGCAGUCUCUUGUCAACCUGAGUAAAUUGCAAAGAUUUGGUAUCUUGGAGGUCUCAAUUUCUACAUCAGUUUUAAUUGAAAUUGGCCAAAAAGUUCAAAUCUUAUCACGGAAUCAUAGAAAGGUUUGGGUUGGAGAGGACCUUAAAGAUCAUCUCGUUUCAAUCCCACAGCCAUGGGCAGGGACACCGUCCACCAGAUCAGGUUGUUCAGAGCCUCAUACAACCUGGCCUUGAGCGCUUCCAGGAUGGGGCAGCCACAACUUCUCUGGGCAACCUGUGCCAGGGCCUCACCACCCUCACAGUGAAGAAUUUCUUCCUAAUAUACAAUCUAAACCUACUCUCAGUUUGAAGCCAUUUACCCUUGUCCUGUCAUGACAUGCCCUUGCAAAAAGUCCCUCUCCAUGUAUUAGGAGACUGACCAAAAAAGAGACAAUGGUCACACAAACCUGAUUUCAUUAAUUUAGAAAAAGUUUAAGAAAAAAUAAAACCACAUUUUUGCUGUUAAGGGUUAAGUUUAAAAUAUCCCUGGAUACCUUGUCCCUGAAGAAGCAAUCCUUGGAUAAUUAUCCUACAAAUUAAAUUAAUUGUGGUCCAGACACAUUUUACUGGUUGCAUAUAUAACUACAUUUGCUCCAGAGUUGCUGCUGGCAGGAAAAUACCAUAUAAUUUCCAGCUUCUCUAACAGGGCCCUGAUAGCAAAAAUUGUUAAUGCAUGCUAGGCAUAGGUUUUGAGGUUUUUUCAUUCUGCCUAGGAGGAAAUCUUUAUAUGAGUACUUAAUUUUCCUUUGAUUGCUUCCAGUCAUUGUGACAAAGCUCUUUACAACCUCCAAAUGCUUUUAGAGGUUUAUCAGGUCUUCCCAAUGUACAGACAUAAGAUCUAUAUAUUGUGGCCCAUCCAGGCUUUUAUGUAGAGAUCUUAAAAUGAUGUCAUGUUUUUCAUUUAGAGUUGUCAUUUUUCUAGUCCUCACAGCUUUAACAAGGAAGAGCUUGAGCAGGGUGGGUUGUAUCUUGUCCUCACUCUGGCAUGGUUUGCAGAUGCCUUGAAAUAUAUUCUUGAAAGGCCCAAGCUGCCUGUCCAUUGUGGAUAUUCAGCUGUGUCUCUGAGAGCUCCUCCUUGCCAGAGUCCUCUGCAGGGAAGAGGGGGCUUGCCUUGCUGCUCAGCCCAGGGAGUGUGUUCACCUCCAGCUGGGACACAGUGAGGGGGAUACAGCCAGUGUCUUACUGCAAGGUCAGAAAUGGGACUUGGCCACACUCCAGGCUGUCCCAGGGGGUGUCCAGGUGCCUGAGCACUGGGGAGUGAAAGGGAGAUGGUGCUGUCACAGUGUCCUGAGUGUGACCUGUGACCAAGGAGCUGGGCUGAACCCCUUUCACUUUUGUACUGGUACAAAAAGUACAUUGGGCACAUCUCUGGUGUGAUGGAGCCCAUGGCAUGGGAGAGCCAGAACAGUGUCAGAACCUGGUGAUACCAAUCCCCAGCAUAGAUUAUUUCACAUCACCAGGCUUGCCCAGCAGCUCUGUGCACAGACAGAGGGUUAAAACAAAUGCAAUGUGACAGGAGGUUAUGUUCUCUCUGAAAGAUGCCUGCUUUGCUUGGCUCAGACCUGACUACCUCUAUAUAUGCACAAUCUAUUUUCCUUUGAAAAUUCAGCUGCAGUGUCCCCUUGGUUUUG